UACGAAGGGGGGCUAGCGUUGUUCGGAUUUACUGGGCGUAAAGCGCACGUAGGCGGAUCGUUAAGUCGGGGGUGAAAUCCUGGAGCUCAACUCCAGAACUGCCUUCGAUACUGGCGAUCUUGAGUCCGGAAGAGGUGAGUGGAACUCCUAGUGUAGAGGUGGAAUUCGUAGAUAUUAGGAAGAACACCGGUGGCGAAGGCGGCUCACUGGCUCGUAACUGACGCUCAUGCACGCAGCGUGG
rnacentral:rRNA from 1 species